CAAAGGAAGUUGACGGGGCCCGCACAAGCGUGGAGCAUGUGGUUUAAUUCGAAGCAACGCGAAGAACCUUACCAGGCCUUGACAUGCAGAGAACUUUCCAGAGAUGGAUUGGUGCCUUCGGGAACUCUGACACAGGUGCUGCAUGGCUGUCGCCAGCUCGUGUCGUGAGAUGUUGGGUUAAGUCCGUAACGAGCGCAACCCUUGUCCUUAGUUACCAGCACGUUAUGGUGGGCACUCUAAGGAGACUGCCGGUGACAAACCGGAGGAAGGUGGGGAUGACGUCAAGUCAUCAUGGCCCUUACGGCCUGGGCUACACACGUGCUACAAUGGUCGGUACAAAGGGUUGCCAAGCCGCGAGGUGGAGCUAAUCCCAUAAAACCGAUCGUAGUCCGGAUCGCAGUCUGCAACUCGACUGCGUGAAGUCGGAAUCGCUAGUAAUCGUGAAUCAGAAUGUCACGGUGAAUACGUUCCCGGGCCUU
rnacentral:rRNA from 1 species